AGCAAUUGCUAAUCUUCUGAGAGAAAUUAUCAUUCUCCUUGCCUUCAUCAUGAUCAUUUUAUCUAUUUGCUGCAAAACCAGAGUUGAAAAGCAUAAGUUGAUAUUUCAGAGAACCAUAAAAA